CUUUGGGUUCUAAGUUAUUCUAUUCUUGUGUUGUGCUUCUCUCCCUCUCCUUCUCCUCAUCCACCACAAAGCCAACAGCCAAAACUCAAACAAUAGCCUCACUCACAAAAAAAUGGUGAGAGUGAUUCCCAUGGCUUCUUCGAUUCGACCCACUCUCUCCUCACUUAGGUUUUCAUCACCUUCUUCUCUCUCUCUCUUCAACCCUUCUCCUCUUCUCUCUUCCUUCAAUCUUCCCACUGUGUCUCAAUCCCCUAGUUUUGGCCUGAAAGCAUCUAGGAUGUUCAGACAAGAUGGUAAAUCCAUGAGAGUGAUGGCAUCAGGGAACGUGUCCCAAUCAGUCACAGCUGCUUCACAAGAAAAUGUACUUGAAUGGGUGAAGCAGGAUAAGAGAAGAAUGCUCCAUGUUGUAUAUCGUGUUGGGGAUUUGGACAGGACCAUAAAGUUUUAUACCGAAUGCCUGGGAAUGAAGCUCCUCAGAAAGCGGGACAUACCGGAAGAGAGAUACACUAAUGCCUUCCUUGGAUAUGGGCCCGAAGACUCACACUUUGUUAUUGAACUGACAUACAAUUAUGGGGUUGACAAGUAUGAUAUUGGAACUGGAUUUGGCCAUUUUGGUAUUGCUGUUGAUGAUGUUGCAAAAGCAGUGGAGCUAAUAAGAGCUAAGGGUGGCAAAAUAACUAGAGAGCCUGGUCCUGUCAAGGGAGGCCGUUCAGUAAUUGCAUUUAUUGAAGAUCCUGAUGGUUACAAAUUUGAACUUCUGGAAAGAGGUCCUACUCCUGAACCUUUGUGUCAAGUAAUGCUUCGAGUGGGUGAUCUCAAUCGUUCCAUAGAAUUUUAUGAGAAGGCAUUUGGUAUGGAGCUGCUUCGUACACGAGAUAAUCCAGAUUACAAGUAUACCAUAGCAAUGUUGGGAUAUGGUCCAGAAGAUAAAAGUACUGUUCUGGAGUUGACUUACAAUUAUGGAGUCACUGAAUAUGAUAAAGGAAACGCUUAUGCUCAGAUUGCAAUAGGCACAGAUGAUGUGUACAAAACUGCAGAAGCGGUUAAACUAGCUGGAGGAAAGGUUACUCGGGAACCUGGACCAUUACCUGGUAUCAACACAAAAAUUACUGCAUGCUUGGAUCCUGAUGGUUGGAAGACGGUAUGUUUCAUUGAUCUUUAUUAUUUAACGUCUCCCCAAGGCUUAAGCUGGAAAUUGAAAACUCAUGAACGGUUUUAUAUCUAAUACAUCUCUGCAUGCAAGAGCUUGAACCUUGGAUGACACAACUCAAUUUUCCCUUGUGGAUAUUCAACGCAUACAUAAAAGAAUGAGGAUUACAAGGAUCAAACUGUUGAUUACUAGGUGAUAAAGGCUUUAAUACCAUAUCAAAGAUGAACUGAUUCGUGUAUCUUUGAGAUGUUAGAUAUAAAAUCAUUCGUGUAUCUUUACCCAACAGCUUAAGCCUGAGGUUUUUGUAGAUAAUGUUGAUUUUCUUAAGGAGUUGGAGUAGAGAAUUUAGGUAGGUAAUCACAGCAAUCUUGUAAGAUCUGUAUCAAAAUCUCCGUCAAAGAAUCGGUAUUCUUUGAAGAAAAAUGCUUACAUCAGAGAGUGUAUCAUAUUCAAAUCCGAUUUUGUAGAUAAUGUAAUAAUGGCCAUUGAAGCAAAUAUCUUUAUCUAUAUACAAUGAAACAAGCUUGAGAAACAUG